rnacentral:lncRNA from 1 species
AGAUAGAUAAAAUAGUGAAUUAAAAAUAUAAAUGCAUAUUUAUCCACUAUACUUUAAAAAUAGCUUUAUUUAGGUAUAAGUUACCUACCAUAAAAUUCACUCACUUUAAGUGUACUCUUCGUUGAAUCCUAGUAAGUAUUCACCACGUGGUUGCAGAGCAGCCUUUUAGGGUGUUUUCCUCACCCUAGGGGGCCCUUGCAUCCCUUUGCCAUCUUUCCUGCCUCAGGCCCAGCCCCAGGCAAGCACUGAUCUGCUGUCACGUAAUUUGCCUUUUCUAGAAUUCUUUAUAAUGGAAUUAGGAGCAGUGUCCUCUUUUGUGUCUGGCUUCUUUCACUUAACUUUUUUUUAAAGAUUCAUUCGUCUUUUUGCAUGUAUCACCAGUUCAUUCCUUUUUAUUGCUGAAUGAUAUUCCAAAUAUAUUCCGUGUAGGGAUAGAUCGUAAUUUUUUUAUCCAUUCACCUGUCAGUGGACAUUUGGGUUGUUUCCAGUUUUUGACUCUCACAUAUAAGCCUAGGAGGAACAUGCACUUACAAGACUUUGUGUGGACACAUGCUGUCUCUUUUCUUGGGUAAGUACCUAGGAGUGGAAUGGCUGGAUUAUAUGGCAGGUGUUUACCUUUUUAAGAAAUUGCCAAACUGUUUCCCAAAGUGUGUGGACCAUUUUAUAUUCCCCCUAGUAGUAUAUGAAUAGGUUCCAGUUUCCCCACAUCCUUAGCAGCCAGCACUUGGUAUGAUCGGUCUUUAGCCAUCUUAGUAAGGCCUGUAGGAGUAUCUCACUGUGGUUUUAAUUGCAUUUCCCUAAUCACUAAUGAAGUUGAGCAUCUUUUCGUGUGCUUAUUUUCUAUCCAUUUUUCUUUGACAGUGUUUGUUGACAUCUUUUGCCUGGUGAAAAAAAAAAAAAAACCUGAGUUGGAGAAUUCUAGAUAGAAGUUCUGUAUCAGAUAUGUGAUUUGAAAAUAUUUUCUAGUCUGUGGUUAUCUUAACAGUGUCUUUUCAGGAGCAGAAGUUUUAAUUUUCAUGAAGCCUAACUUACCAGUUUUUUCUUGUAUGAAUCAUGCUAUUGUAUCUGAAAAGUCUUUGCCUAACCCAGAAUAACCCAGAAUUACAAAGAUCACGCACAAAGAUGUUUUUUCUAUAUUUCCUUCUAGGAAGUUUUUGGUUUUAGAGUUCACAUUUAGGUCUACAAUCCAUUUUGGAAUUUGUUUGGUCUGCUGUACAAAUAAUGGAUCAGAGUUCAUUGUUUUGCGUAUGGAUAUCCAGCUGUUCCGGCAUCAUAUCUGAACACAUUGUCCUUUCUCCACUUUAUGAUCUUCGCCUCUUUGUUGAAAAUUCAUUAACCAGGUAUAUGUGAAUCUAUUUCUGGUAUUCUGUAAGAUUGUUCCAUUUCCACGCUUUCUUCAUUGCUGUGGCUUUAUAAUACACGUUAAAGUCAGGAAAUCUAAAUCUUUUUGUCUUUUUCAUAAUUUUGGCUCUUCUAGGUUCUUUGCAUUUCCUUAUGAGCUUUAAAAUCUGCUUCUCAAUUUCUGUUAAAAGCCUCUUGGGGUUUUGAUUGACAUUACAUUCAAUUUUUAGAUCAAUUUUGCGAGAACUGAUCAGAUUUAUUCUUGAGUAUUUUAUAUUUUUUGAAAUAAUUUUUUUUUGAGACAGGGUCUUACUCUGUCUCCCAGGCUAAAGUACAGUGGCACAAUUAUAGCUCGCUGCAACCUCUAUCUCCUGGGCUCAAGUGAUCCUCCCACUAUAGUCUCCCAAGUAGCUGGGACUACAGGUGUAUACCACCACCCCCAGCUAAUUUUUUUUUUUUCUGUGGAGAUGGGGUCUUACUAUGUUUCCCAGGCUGGUCUUGAAUUCCUUGGUUCAAGUGAUCCUUCUGCC